rnacentral:rRNA from 1 species
UACGGGGGGGGCAAGCGUUGUUCGGAAUUACUGGGCGUAAAGGGCUCGUAGGCGGCCAACUAAGUCAGACGUGAAAUCCCCAGGCUCAACCUGGGAACUGCGUCUGAUACUGGAUGGCUUGAAUCCGGGAGAGGGAUGCAGAAUUCCAGGUGUAGCGGUGAAAUGCGCAGAUAUCGGGAAGAACACCCGUGGCGAAGGCGGUUCUCUGGGACGGUACUGACGCUGAGACGCAAAAGCGUGGGGAGCGAACAGG